rnacentral:rRNA from 1 species
UCGGGAAUAUUGCGCAAUGGAGGAAACUCUGACGCAGUGACGCCGCGUGCAGGAAGAAGGUUUUCGGAUUGUAAACUGCUUUAGACAGGGAAGAAAAAAAUGACUGUACCUGUAGAAUAAGCUCCGGCUAACUACGUGCCAGCAGCCGCGGUAAUACGUAGGGAGCAAGCGUUAUCCGGAUUUAUUGGGUGUAAAGGGUGCGUAGACGGAUAAUCAAGUUGGUUGUGAAAUCCCUCGGCUUAACUGAGGAAUUGCAACCAAAACUGGUAAUCUUGAGUACUGGAGGGGAAAGCGGAAUUCCUAGUGUAGCGGUGAAAUGCGUAGAUAUUAGGAAGAACACCGGUGGCGAAGGCGGCUUUCUGGACAGAAACUGACGUUGAGGCACGAAAGUGUGGGGAGCAAACAGG